rnacentral:ncRNA from 2 species
GACGAACCGUACAAACGUUAUUCGGAAUCACUGGGCUUAAAGGGUGCGUAGGCGGCGCUGAAAGUUGGGUGUGAAAUCCCUCGGCUCAACCGAGGAACUGCGCCCAAAACUACAGUGCUUGAGGGAGAUAGAGGUGAGCGGAACUUAGGGUGGAGCGGUGAAAUGCGUUGAUAUCCUAAGGAACGCCAGGGGCGAAAGCGGCUCACUGGGUCUCUUCUGACGCUGAGGCACGAAAGCUAGGGUAGCGAACGGG